rnacentral:tRNA from 2 species
GCAGGAGUGGCGUAAUUGGUAGCCGCGCUGGAUUUAGAUUCCAGUGGUCUUUGUACCGUGAGGGUUCAAGUCCCUCCUCCUGUA